ACUUACAGAAAGUUUGCUGUCAAUUAGUUAUGUAUUUAGAAGCAGGUAAGGUUAAGAUAUAAAUCACAAUAUUGGAGGAAACAGUCCACCAGAUGAAGAGAGAUAUAGUAAAAUGUGAACUUGCUUUGGAAGGAGCAGUAUCUCGAGAAUUCCUUAAUCAUGUAGCUAUGAUUAUGGAAGUUACAAGCAGGACGAAAUCCACUGAGGUGUUCAGAUCAUUUUGCUGCUAACAGUAGACAUGGUUGUUCAAUUUGCAAAGAUUUGGUAAGCUUAUGGUGGAUGGGGUGAUGUCUUCUGACCAGGGAUCCAUUGUGGAAUGUAUUAUUCAUUUUUAUAGAAGGCUUUACUUUGAAAAUGAGGUUCAUCGCCCUGUUCUAGAUGAUGUGGAGUUUGGAAGAAUUUCUGAGGAAGAUGCUUUUUGGUUGGAAAGAACUUUUGAAGAGGACGAAGUGUUUGGGGUGGUUAGUGGAUUCAAUGGUGAUAAGUCACUAGGUCCAGAUGGUUUCUCCAUGGUUUUUUUUCAAUCUUGCUGGAGCAUUCUAAAAUCAGAUAUUAUGGCCGUCCUUCAUAAUUUCCAUGAGCAAGCUGUGUUUGAAAUGAGUCUUAAUGUUUCUUUCCUUGCCCUCAUUUGCAAGAAAUCUGAUGCUAUGGAAGUGAAGGAUUUUCGUCCUAUCAGUUUGGUGGGAGGGAUGUAUAAGAUUAUAUUUGAGGUUUUGGCCAAUUGUUUGCGAAAGGUGGUGCAUAGUCUUAUCUCAGAUUCUCAAAAUGCCUUUGUUAAAGGUAGGCGGAUUUUGAAUUCUGUUUUAAUUGCUUCUGAAUGUAUAGAUAGUAGGAUGAAGAAGGGGUGCCAGGGGUUAUUUGCAAUUUGGAUGUUGAGAAAGCUUUAUGUAUUUGCUUAAGUGGUGUGGCUUUUCAGAAAAAUGGAGAAGGUGGAUUAUGUGGUGUAUAUCAACUGUCAAAUUUUCUAUUCUUAUCAAUGGUACUCCGAUUGAUUUUUUUGGAAGCACUAGGAGUGUUCGUCAGGGGGACCCAUUAUCUUCGCUCCUUUUUGAUAUUGUCAUGGAGGGUUUGAGUCGUAUGUUGGAUGCAGCUGCUAUGUUGGGACAGUUUUCGGGCUUCUCAGUAGGUAAUUCAGCUGGUACUUUGCUAACAGUGUCCCAUCUCUUAUUUGCAGAUGAUACACUUAUUUUUUGUGAUACUAACUAACAUCAUUUAGCUGCUUUGCGUGGGAUUUUGGCCAGAUUUGAAGUGGUAUCAGGGUUAAAAAUUAACUUGUUGAAGUCAAAAUUGGUACCAAUUGGUAACGUGUGCCUAAUACGGAGGAAUUAGUAGAGAUUUUGGGUUGUCUGCAGUCUUCACUUCUUUUGAAAUAUUUGGGUCUUCCAUUGGGUGCUGCCCAUAAAGAGGAGACAAUUUGGAACCUUGUUUUGGAGAAGAUGGAGCAGCGUCUAGCUGGGUGGAAGAGGUUGUAUUUAUCUAAGGAGGGCAAAGUAACUUUUAUUAAGAGUACUCUGUCUAGUUUACCUACUUAUUUCCUUUCUCUCCUUCCUAUUCUAGUAAAGGUGGCUAAUCGUAUGAAGAAAAUAUAGAGAGACUUUCUUUGGAGUGGUAUUGAUGCUUCUAAGGUUCCUUUGGUGGAAUGGGCUAAGGUUUGUAUGCCGGUGCAGAAUGGUGGUUUAGGGAUUCGACGGUUGAGAAGAUUUAAUUCUGUUUUGUUAGGCAAAUAGUUGUGGAGAUAUGGAAUGGAGAGAGAUGCCCUUUGGAGGAAGGUCAUUGAGGCUAAAUAUGGGGAUGAAGGGGGUGAUUGGUGUACCAAACUGGUGUUAGGGACCUAUGGUGUUAGAGUGUGGAAGUCCAUUAGAAGUGGUUGGUUGGACUUUUCUAAAUUUCUUUGGUUUGAUGUGGGUGAUGGUACUAGGAUAAAGUUUUGGGAGGAUGUAUGGUGUAGGGAUUGUUCUCUUAAGGAAGCAUUUCUAGAAUUGUAUGGUAUUAGUUGGGCAAGAGAGUUUUUUUUGUCAGAGGUGAUGUGUUUCUCUAAUGGGAGGCUUCAUUGGGACAUUCAGUUCCGUCGUCCACCACAAGAUUGCGAGUCAGAAUCAUUUGGUCUUUUUUGGGUUGUGCUUUAUUCCACGAAUGUGCGGGGUGUUGGUGAUGACAAACUUUGCUAAAAGCCAGCAAUGAGGAGAGGUUUUGAGGUUCGAGUCUUCUAUCACUCUUUACCUCCUUCUUCUGUCAUUGAUUUUCCUUGGAAAAUGGUGUGGCAAUCAAAGGUUCCUCCUAGAGUAGCGUUCUUUUCUUGGACUGUUGCCUUAGGUAAGAUCUUAGGUACGGAUAAUCUUUGGAAGAGGCAUAUUGCAGUGUUAGAGUGGUGCUUUAUGUGUAAAAGGUGUGGGAAUUGGUGGAUCAUCUUCUUCUUCAUUGUCCUAUAGCAUAUGAGUUGUGGUCUAUUGUUUUUUGUUUGUUUGGUAUACAUUGGGUUAUGCCGUAUAAAGUUAGUGAGGUGUUAGCUUCUUGGCAGGGGAAGUUUGGUAGACAUUGAAAUAUAGGUUUAUGGAGGUUUGUACCACAUUGUUUGUUUUGGUGCUUAUGGUGGGAGCAGAAUGCUAGAUGCUUUGAGGAUUGUGAACGGUCUAUUCUGGACAUUAAGUUUUUCUUUUUCCAUACUCUCCUUAAGUGGAGUUUAGUUUUGCCUUCCUAUUCUUGUUUUUCUCUCCCUAAUCUUAUAGAUCGUUGUAAUCUGGGUUUUUUUAACACCAUAGGUCCCUAAUGCAAGAUAUACGUUAUAUA